ACUACUAAAAAAGUCUGGUAAGUUCAGAAAAUGACAUAAUUUUACUGUAAUGUGGCCUUUAAAAUCAGGAAAAGACGACACUUAUUUCAUAUCACGAGAUUACGAUAUCCAAAAUUUAAGACGAUAUCUAGCUUCAUAUAUCGAUGUUGAUAUAUCAAUAUAUUGCCCAGCCCUAUAUAAAACUAUUAACAAAAGUAAAAUAAAACACACAAUUAAAUAAAUAGAAUAAAACUGGUGAAUUUUUUUUUUUUUAAACCAAGUUUCUCACCUUUUGGAUGGGAAUCAUUGCUGCAACAUCACUGCAAAUAAAUCCUGUAUUUUUAAAUUAGGUAAGGAGAACAGCUAAAAGCCCCGGGUCAAAUGAUAGACUUCUGCCAUGAGGUGCCUUGUAUGUCAUCUUUCUAGAAGGGCACUCUGAGAGCGCAGACCUCCGCCAAUGCAUGCACUAUCUCAUAAUGUUCAUGCAGUGUGAAUACCCUGAAAGUC